rnacentral:rRNA from 1 species
GAUGAACGCUGGCGGCGUGCCUAAUACAUGCAAGUCGAGCGAACGGACGAGAAGCUUGCUUCUCUGAUGUUAGCGGCGGACGGGUGAGUAACACGUGGAUAACCUACCUAUAAGACUGGGAUAACUUCGGGAAACCGUAGCUAAUACCGGAUAAUAUUUUGAACCGCAUGGUUCAAAAGUGAAAGACGGUCUUGCUGUCACUUAUAGAUGGAUCCGCGCUGCAUUAGCUAGUUGGUAAGGUAACGGCUUACCAAGGCAACGAUGCAUAGCCGGCCUGAGAGGGUGAUCGGCCACACUGGAACUGAGACACGGUCCAGACUCCUACGGGAGGCAGCAGUAGGGAAUCUUCCGCAAAGGGCGAAAGCCUGACGGAGCAACGCCGCGUGAGUGAUGAAGGUCUUCGGAUCGUAAAACUCUGUUAUUAGGGAAGAACAUAUGUGUAAGUAACUGUGCACAUCUUGACGGUACCUAAUCAGAAAGCCACGGCUAACUACGUG